UACAGAGGGUGCUAGCGUUAAUCGGAAUUACUGGGCGUAAAGGGCGCGCAGGCGGUCAUGCGAGUGUGAUGUGAAAGCCCCGGGCUCAACCCGGGAAGUGCACCGCGAACGGCAUGACUGGAGUAGAUGAGAGGGUGGCGGAAUUUCCGGUGUAGCGGUGAAAUGCGUAGAGAUCGGAAGGAACGUCAAUGGCGAAGGCAGCCACCUGGCAUCAUACUGAGCUGGAGGUGCGAAAGCGUGGGGAGCAAACAGG
rnacentral:rRNA from 1 species